UUACUUACCUGGCAGCGGAGAUCACUGGUGGUUCACCCAGGGUGAGGCCCAGCCAUUGCACUGCGGCUGUGCUGACCCCUGCAAAUUCCCCAAAUGUGGGAAUCUCCACUGCAUAAUUUCUGGCAGUGGGGGACUGUGUUUGCGCUCUCUGCUU
rnacentral:snRNA from 1 species